UACGUAGGGUGCGAGCGUUAAUCGGAAUUACUGGGCGUAAAGCGUGCGCAGGCGGUUCGCUAAGACCGAUGUGAAAUCCCCGGGCUUAACCUGGGAACUGCAUUGGUGACUGGCGGGCUAGAGUGUGGCAGAGGGGGGUAGAAUUCCACGUGUAGCAGUGAAAUGCGUAGAGAUUUGGAGGAAUACCGAUGGCGAAGGCAGCCCCCUGGGCUAACACUGACGCUCAUGCACGAAAGCGUGGGGAGCAAACAGG
rnacentral:rRNA from 1 species